AGACUGUAACGUAGGCAACAACAGAACACAGGAGCAAGACAAGAGUUAGGCAGAAUCACUUACAGAGUAUCAAGGCAGUGACAUUUCAGGGACAGGAGAGGAGAGCAGCAAUGACUUCUGACACAUGUUGAAAGCAAGAAGCAAGACUGACUGAGAAAUGAGAGGAAAAGGAGAGAAGAUGAUAUUGGGCCCUUUCAGAUCUCUUCCAGAACCACAAAUAGAUCUCCUGGACCUGUGCAGAGAACAGAACCAGCUGUCUCUUCAACAGCAUCCCCAGCAACCCACAGCCUUGAUGGAUGGCUCUCUUCAGACACAGCAAGAGCACAAUAUUCCACAACUGUCCUGCCAAAGUGUCUCAACUGUGUGCUUCAUUCACUCUCCAUGAUUAUCAAAUCCUUGAAGACUGCCAACAAAGAGGGGAGGGGAUAAAAUGGGGCUCAACUAGGACCACACAUCCCCCACCACCACCCAAACCUGUGCUGCGAGAUCGUCCCCACACAUUCCAGGUGGUGCCUCCUGUCCCUGCGACGUGGUGGUGGAGGAAAACUGCAGGGAAGAACCAGCCAGAGACUCCAGCCAAAGGAACAGCUGAAGAUGCAGGCAAAGCUAGGAUCUCCAGACAUUCAGGGAAUGUUCUACAAUUUUUCCUGCACUGUGUCUGCCCUUAGCUGAUUGACUGUUUCCUCCAGUUCUGCCCCUCCCACACAAUCUCUUCAUCUCAGUUUUACUCCACACCUGACCCUCUUACCCACUUCUCCUAUGCCCUGUUGUCCUCCUCCCACUCCCCCUUGCACUCCACAUUCCCUCUCCAUUCAGUUUUCUUUCCGUUUAGCUUAUCCCCUCCUAACUAAACCCCACCCACCCCUCAAAAAAUCAUGGAACUAACGAUGUUUUCUGCCAUCACAUUGUUCACUCUGAUUGUGUGUUCUAUCACUUCUCCUACUCUGUGUCUGUCUUCUCUAUUAAAUUUAGAUUUUAGAUUGUAAGCUCUCUGGUGUGGGGACCGUCUAUUCUGUGUGCUUAGUACAAUGAAGCACCAUUCUUGGCUGGUUCUUAGGAACUGCUGUAAUGAACAUGAUUAACCAUACAACAUGCUUUUACCUGAUCACUGUGCGCUGUCUCCAUUCUCCAGUGGGGGCAAAUGGGCAUGAGGUGUUAAACUGAAGCAUGAACCUACAGGUACUAGUACAGAUGGAUACAAACCUGAAGGAAAGAAAAAAACAAGUACAUUUUUAUAUGAAACUGUGUUGGAUACCACUCUCAGCCCGCUUACUGGGGAUAUUUACAAAUUAGGAGAGUUCGUGGAAUUUGCUCACUUUUUUCAGGUAAUUUUAAUAUGUGUUGCAUAGGUGACUCAAAGAAACUGAAAUUCUGCCACAUCUGCUUAGAUUCACUCCUACAGAGGAGAAUUUGCCUGUGGCUGCUUGAUAAACAUUUAAAUCGGUGUUUUCUGACUUAAAAAAAACUAUUUGAACACUACCAAUGGCAAGCACUGAUUAGAUUCAAAAUAGGGGGUUUAAAAACCAAGCAAACAGAAAAUGAAGUUUUAAAGGGGACUUUACUGAGCAAGGCUACAAUUAAACUGUUCUGUAAACUAGCAAGAUAAAUAGCAUUAAAGAGCUUUGGGCUGAGGAUCUAGAUAAUCAAAUAACCAACAUAUUAUCAAAGGAAACGUGCUCCCUUUUCGGUUUUGGGUCCAGUUCAUUCCACUGCAGAAUACAAGCUGUGGCUGCAAGCAAUGGAAAGUGCAUUGGAAACAAAGGAACAAUUCUGUUGGGGGUCCAGUUCAGCCCACAAAAUGAAAGGGCUGGAAUUUGAGGAGCAAAGCUAAAGCAUCUGGGACAUAUGCUGUUUCAGUACAUCUCCUGUAGAGCAUCCACCAGCAGAGCUCCUAGAGGCCUACAUCAGGAGUUGAA